CCAGCUAUGGCGCAAUUGGCUAGCGCGUGCGGCUGUUAUUUGACACCGCAAGGUUCUAAGUUCGAGUCUUAGUAGCUGGG
rnacentral:tRNA from 1 species